CGCGUCGUAAGCACACCUCUAAAAGUACGAGUAUGCAACUAUGUCAAACUCAUAUACGUCAGGUCAAAGUGCAGCUAAUGAAAGGGGCGACGAUGGGUUACACCCUAAAUAAAGAUACGAAAUAUGGCACCAAAAGCCACAUGAAGGUGGACUUGGACGUAACAAAAAUACAAAAUUAAAAUGAAAACGAAUCUGAGACAUGCACACAUCGCCCGUCACUCUUGCCCAAAGGUGAGAUAAGUCGUAACAAAGUAGGUGUAACGGAAGUUGCACCUGU
rnacentral:rRNA from 1 species